rnacentral:rRNA from 1 species
GCGUAACGCGUAUACAACCUGCCUUUAACAAAGGGAUAGCCCAUGGAAACGUGGAUUAAUACCUUAUAAUAUGUAGACAUGGCAUCAUGAUUACAUCAAAGAUUUAUCGGUUAAAGAGGGGUAUGCGUGACAUUAGCUAGUUGGUGAGGUAACGGCCCACCAAGGCUACGAUGUCUAGGGGUUCUGAGAGGAUGAUCCCCCACACUGGUACUGAGACACGGACCAG